rnacentral:lncRNA from 1 species
GAGAGACAAGCACAGUUCCAGAAUGUGAAAUCGCCAUGGUAAUGCUCUUCAUAACAUACUGGCUGAGGCUGAGAAUGGCACAGGCUUAACUUUAUGGAAUAUAAGCCUCCUGCUGUUGACAUGGAAAGCCUCUGAACAUCUUUACUUGGGAGGUUGUAAAGAUGGUUAGAAAUGUCUCCUGAUCUUGGAAGUGAAGCAUUGCUUGAAACUCUCCAUUUGCCUUUUGAAGGUGACUAGAAUAAUCUACAGAAAUGGCAAUGAAAAUGAGAGUAGAUGCAUAAAGAGAAAAAGUUCUGGCGAGAGUUCCAGCUUGUUUAAUGUGAAUGAAAGUGAAUAUUGCUAUGUUCUGGAAAAAGCAAAAACCCUGUCUUUCCAGCUGCUUGGCCUGAUGGAAGUAUGAAGGCGGUGUUUCCAUAAGACCUGGAAGACAAGACAUAAUGUGGGACACAAAGGCAGACGAAGACUUAUUGCUCAUUCUUUUUUUUUCCACUUCCUGAAAUAGACAGUCCUUCCCUUCUGAUCCAAACCCUAUUCA